CAACUUUUAACAACGGAUCUCUUGGCUCUCGCAACGAUGAAGAACGCAGCGAAAUGCGAUAAGUAAUGUGAAUUGCAGAACUUCGUGAAUCAUCAAAUCUUUGAACGCACAUUGCGCUUUAUGGAAACAUAGAGCAUGCCUGUUUGAGUAUCAUU
rnacentral:rRNA from 1 species